rnacentral:sRNA from 1 species
AAAACGCUUCUUUACAGGAAGCAAUACUUAACGUAAUCGGUCUCAGGUGCGCUUCGCGUGCACGUAGCAAAGAUUCAAAAAGUGUUGGGGAUAUGGAAGCCCGGAAUCGGUGUCGGAUGGCGUUUGGUGUCAUGCGUAAACCUAGAGGAAAGUUUUCAUAGUAAAAUUACUGAACUUAGGUCCUCGGACCCCCCUCUGGCAAACUUAAAUAUCCUUCGGACCCCCCCCCCCCCCUCCCUUCCCGCUGGAUCCGCGCAAGUGCGGUGUUUCUGUGAUAUUACCAGAGUGAUUUUGGGUGUGGAAGGAAUGGGGCAUGGGGUUCUAAUACGUACAAACUUUCUACGGCACGAUAUAGUUAUAGUUAAAAAAUAUACUGUUGCAUAAUUACUUAUGCUCGGAAAAAUUGCAGACUGCAGACCGACGAAGACGAUGGGCAAGUUUCAAUAAUGAUUAUCAUAUGAUAAAGUGAGCACAAUUUGACUUACGUUUUUUCGCCAUAGCACAGCUCUGUACUGUGGAACAUUGUGGUUGUUAGCGUCCGUUACUACCACAGACAAUAUAAACGGGUCUUUCUCUGUGUCUAUUCCAACAUAAUUCUGGUGCACUAAAAACAGAGAUACAUUGUGAUGAUGCAAUUUAGUUGUUGGUCAUAUUCUUCAAAUAAAGGUAUGAAAAGUUG